GUGCUCACUGGGCAACACACAUACUAAAAUCGGAACAAUACAGAGAUUAGCCUGGGCCCUGCACAAGGAUGUCACUUAUCUUAGUUACUUUUUGUU
ensembl:snRNA U6 U6 spliceosomal RNA